rnacentral:tRNA from 1 species
UAGGAGAUAGUGUAAUGGGAGCACUAGGAGUUUUGAUCUCCUAAGUAAGGGUUCGAGCCCCUUUUUCCUAA